UACAGGGGGGGCAAGCGUUGUUCGGAAUUACUGGGCGUAAAGGGUCAGUAGGCGGCCAACUAAGUCCGACGUGAAAUCCCAAGGCUUAACUUUGGAACUGCGUCGGAUACUGGAUGGCUUGAAUUCGGGAGAGGGAUGCAGAAUUCCAGGUGUAGUGGUGAAAUGCGUAGAUAUCGGGAGGAACACCAGUGGCGAAGGCGGCUUCCUGGCCUGUUCUUGACGCUGAGGCGCGAAAGCUAGGGGAGCAAACGGG
rnacentral:rRNA from 1 species